UUUUUGUUUGUUUGUUUGGUUUCUUUGUUGCAAUUUUUCAUUUUUUUGCUUGGCACUGACCCAACAAUGCCAGUAAUGAUUACACCUCAAAAUAAUAUUUGCAUAUUUGAGGGUAAUAUAUUUUAAUACAGUUCCCUGAUUUUAUUAUUUUGAAACAUCUGAAACCUGCGUUGGACAAAAUCUAAAGGAUUUUGAGAAACAGAGAGAACCCAGAUUACAGAUGCUACCUCGACAUGAUGGCACUAUGGUCGUGUAUUGUGCGGUUGUAAGUCUUAAAAAGCAGUGAGGAAUUCUGGGUAACGAAACUUCCUGAGGUGAUCAUGAAACAGCCAUGCAGACUAUUCUGUAUCCCGUUUUGCUGAACAGAACACACACAAACAUAUAUGUAUAUACAAUAACAAAUAUAUACAUAUAUACACACAUACACACACACAUACAUAAAACUCGUCAUCUCAGACAAAUUAGGAGAACUGAGUGUUCCAGUGUUACAGCUCACAAAUUGGACCCCCCUUCCCCAAGAAAAAUACAAUAAAACAUGCUUGUAUUUUAAAUUAUUCCUUAGACACAGCAAACCAAUAUACGGAGUACUGAAGUAAAAUCAAUUCGGAGGAGUUAAGAAGGCUUUUCACCUGGAAAAUGUAAAGAAACUAAAAGAAUUUGAUGCAUUUUUAAAAACCGCAUCACAGGGAAAAUAAAAAUGUCAAAAAAUAAAAAUGCUUUAAAAUGGCGAUUUAAUGUUAAUAUUUCUUUUCUGUGAUAGAGAAAUCCAUAAGUAAAGUAUCAUUCACUUGCUUUGCUGCCUGAGAGUAUAUCCAUGAUAGUGAAAAGGUCAGUGCGCAAGUGACGGUCCCUCAUCUGUUUGACUUUACCUCUCACCACCCUUUGCCAAGCAGGGAUAGGCUGAGAGUUCGGAUAGUCCCAGAUCAGCAGCUACUUCAGAAAAUUAUUCCUGAUCCAAAAGGUUUUAAAAUCACAGCUCAAAUAUA